rnacentral:rRNA from 1 species
AUUGAACGCUGGCGGCAGGCCUAACACAUGCAAGUCGAACGGUAACAGGAAACAGCUUGCUGUUUCGCUGACGAGUGGCGGACGGGUGAGUAAUGUCUGGGAAACUGCCUGAUGGAGGGGGAUAACUACUGGAAACGGUAGCUAAUACCGCAUAACGUCGCAAGACCAAAGAGGGGGACCCUCGGGCCUCUUGCCAUCGGAUGUGCCCAGAUGGGAUUAGCUUGUUGGUGGGGUAACGGCUCACCAAGGCGACGAUCCCUAGCUGGUCUGAGAGGAUGACCAGCCACACUGGAACUGAGACACGGUCCAGACUCCUACGGGAGGCAGCAGAGGGGAAUAUUGCACAAUGGGCGCAAGCCUGAUGCAGCCAUGCCGCGUGUAUGAAGAAGGCCUUCGGGUUGUAAAGUACUUUCAGCGGGGAGGAAGGGAGUAAAGUUAAUACCUUUCCUCAUUGACGUUACCCGCAGAAGAAGCACCGGCUAACUACGUG